AUCCAGCCGACGAGUCCCAGGUAGGACGGAACGCGUCCUGGAU
rnacentral:hammerhead_ribozyme from 1 species